rnacentral:rRNA from 1 species
UGCGUAGGCGGGCUAAUAAGUCAGUGGUGAAAUCUUCCGGCUCAACCGGGAACUUGCCAUUGAUACUGUUAGUCUUGAGUUCGGUUGAGGUAGGCGGAAUGUGUAAUGUAGCGGUGAAAUGCUUAGAUAUUACACAGAACACCGAUUGCGUAGGCAGCUUACUAGACCGACACUGACGCUGAGGCACGAAAGCGUGGGGAGCGAACAGGAUUAGAUACCCUGGUAGUCC